rnacentral:tRNA from 1 species
GCGAGAGUAGCUCAGUUGGUAGAGCGUCAGCCUUCCAAGCUGAGGGUCGCGGGUUCGAGUCCCGUCUCUCGCUCAA